CGGAGGAGAAGAAACUAACCAGGAUUUCCCUAGUAACGGCGAGCGAACCGGAAAGAGCCCAGCUUGAAAAUCGAGGUGCUUCGCAGCUCGAAUUGUAGUCUGGAGAAGCGUCCUCUGCAGCGUGCCGGCCCCAAGUUCCCUGGAAUGGGAUGCCCAAGAGGGUGACAGCCCCGUCGAGGCCGGUUUUUAUUGUUGCUCCACGAGGCGCGAUCUGCGAGUCGGGCUGUUUGGGAAUGCAGCCCUAAGUGGGAGGUAAAUUCCUUCUAAGGCUAAAUAUUGGCAAGAGACCGAUAGCGAACAAGUACCGCGAGGGAAAGAUGAAAAGGACUUUGAAAAGAGAGUUAAACAGUGCUUGAAAUUGCUGGGAGGGAAGCGAAUGGAAGCUGCGGGUGUGCCCCGGUUGGAUGUGGAACGGCUUCGGCUGGUCUGCCGCUCAACGCGGGGCACUGGUCAGCGUGGGCUACUUCGGCGGGACAAGAGCAGGGCGCAAGUGCCUUGCCUAUGCCGCCGAGGUGGCCGAGGAACGAAGCGUGCGGCCCCCCUCUCGGGGGGGGCCGUGGGACUUGUCCCAACUGCACGCUCGGGACGCUGGCGUAUUGAGCUCUUCAUCCGACCCGUCUUGAAACACGGACCAAGGAGUCUAACAUGUAUGCAAGCAGGUGGGCGGCAAACCCAUUGAUGCGCAAGUAAACUGACAGGUGGGACCCCCCUGAAAAGGGUGCACCAUCGACCGACCGUGAUCUUCUGUGAAAGGUUUGAGUGUGAGCAUACCUGUUGGGACCCGAAAGAUGGUGAACUAUGCCUGAGCAGGGCGAAGCCAGAGGAAACUCUGGUGGAGGCUCGUAGCGAUACUGACGUGCAAAUCGUUCGUCAGACUUGGGUAUAGGGGCGAAAGACUAAUCGAACCAUCUAGUAGCUGGUUCCCUCCGAAGUUUCCCUCAGGAUAGCUGGAGCUCGUGUAAGAGUUUUAUCAGGUAAAGCGAAUGAUUAGAGGCAUCGGGGGUGUAACACCCUCGACCUAUUCUCAAACUUUAAAUAGGUAAGCCGCCGGGGUUGCUUGGUUGAACCCCGGCACAGAAUGAGAGCUCCAAGUGGGCCAU
rnacentral:rRNA from 1 species